rnacentral:rRNA from 1 species
GAUCAUGGCUCAGAUUGAACGCUGGCGGCAGGCCCAACACAUGCAAGUCGAACGGUAACAGGAAACAGCUUGCUGUUUCGCCGACGAGUGGCGGACGGGUGAGUAAUGUCUGGGAAACUGCCUGAUGGAGGGGGAUAACUACUGGAAACGGUAGCUAAUACCGCAUAACGUCGCAAGACCAAAGAGGGGGACCCUCGGGCCUCUUGCCAUCGGAUGUGCCCAGAUGGGAUUAGCUUGUUGGUGGGGUAACGGCUCACCAAGGCGACGAUCCCUAGCUGGUCUGAGAGGAUGACCAGCCACACUGGAACUGAGACACGGUCCAGACUCCUACGGGAGGCAGCAGUGGGGAAUAUUGCACAAUGGGCGCAAGCCUGAUGCAGCCAUGCCGCGUGUAUGAAGAAGGCCUUCGGGUUGUAAAGUACUUUCAGCGGGGAGGAAGGGAGUAAAGUUAAUACCUUUGCUCAUUGACGUUACCCGCAGAAGAAGCACCGGCUAACUCCGUG